rfam:Loxodonta africana unplaced genomic scaffold scaffold_49, whole genome shotgun sequence.
GCAGUGGUGGUUCAUUGGUAGAAUCCCCGCCUUCCAUGCGGGAGACUUGGGUUCAAUUUCCAGCUAAUGCA